AAACACUUUUUAUUAAGUGAAUGUGAAUUUCUUGCAUUCACAUUCAGCCAAUGGCCUGGCAAGCAGUCUUUCAAGGUCUAAUGAGAACA